rnacentral:lncRNA from 1 species
AGUCCUGUCCUCAGGCUCCACCAAGCUUGACUCUUUGUCACUGUCCGCAAACGUCGGGUACGGUGGCCUCUAUGGACGAUGAUCAGCCGACAAGCUGGACUGCGGAGAGCUGGGAGCAGAGGGGAGGAGGAGAGAUAGCUCGAACGUCAGGAUCCCAGAGCGCAGGCUCUGCUGCAGCCAGCUCCGCCACCAUCCCACGUCCUCCCUGUGGAAGACGGACACAUCUAUUUUAUUUAUUUAUUUAUUUUUGGUCCUCCCUGUGGAAGACGGAAACAUCUAUUUUAUUUAUUUAUUUAUUUUGAGUCAGAGUCUUGCUCUGUUGCCCGGGCUGGAGUGUAGUGGUGCAAUCUCAGCUCGCUGCAACCUCUGCCUCCCGGGUUCAAGCGAUUCUCCUGCCUCAGCCUCCCGAGUAUCUGGGAUUACAGUUGUGCACCACCAUGCCCGACUAAUUUUUGUAUGUUUAGUAGAGAUGGGGUUUCACUAUGUUGGCCAGGCUUGUCUCGAACUCCUGACUUCAGGUGAUCUGCCCUCCUCAGCCUCCCAAAGUGCUGGGAUUACAGGCAUGAACCACUGCACCCAGCCUGACAUAACUUUCUUAAGGUCGCCAAGAGGAAUGGCCACUUUUCAGUUCUUGUUUUACAUCCGCAUCUUAUUUGACACAGUUGACCACUUUCUUCAUUUGGCUUCCAGGACAUCAUGCCCUCUUGACUUUCUUCCCCGUUCAUUGGCAUCUCAGUAUUCUUUGCUGUUUUCUCACCGCCUUCUUGUUGCUGGAAUGGGAUAUUCCCUGGGAGAAGGCUCAGCCCUUGGUGUCCUCCUCCUUUUUGAUGUUUAUAGUCAUUCCCCAGAUAUUCUCAUAAAGUCUCAUGAUUUUAUUUAUUAUUAUUUUUUAAGAUGGAGUCUCACUCUAUUGCCCAGGCUGGAGUGCAGUGGCAUGAUCUUGGCUCACUGCAACCUCUGCCUCCUGGGUUCAAAUGACUCUCCUGCCUCAGCGUCCAGAAUAGCUGGGAUUACAGGCACCCACCACCACACCCAGCUAAUUUUGUAUUUUUAGUAGAGAUGGGGUUUCACCAUGUUGGCCGGGCUGGUCUUGAACUCCUGGCCUCAGGUGAUCCACCCACCUCGGCCUCUGAAAGUGCUGGGAGUACAGGCGUGAGCCACUGCUCCUGGCCCAUUUUAUUUUAUUUUUAAGACAGGAUCUUACUCUGUCGCCAUAUUAGUCCAUUUUCACACUGCUAAUAAAGACAUACCUGAGACUGGGCAAUUUACAAAAGAAAGAGUUUUACUGGACUCACAGUUCCACAUGGCCAGGGAGACCUCACAAUGAUGGAGGAAGGUGAAAGGCACAUCUCACAUGGUGGCAGACAAGAGAAGAGAGCUUGUGCAGGGAAACUCCCGAUUUUAAAACCAUCAGAUCUCAUGAGAACCAUUCACUAUUAUGAGAAAAGCACGGGAAAAACCCGCCCCCACCAUGAUUCAGUCAUCUCUCACCAGGUCCCUUCUACAACACGUGGGAAUUAUGGAGCUACAAGAUGAGAUUUGGGUGGGAACACAGAGCCAAACCAUAUCAGUUGCCCAGGCUGGAGUGCAGUGGCACGAUCAUGGCUCACUGCAGCCUUGACUUCCUGAACUCAAGCAAUCCUCCUGCCUCAGUCUCCUGAGUAGCUGGGACUACAGGCAUGCACCAUCAAGCCCAGCUAUUAUUAUUUUUUUAAAUAGAGAUGAGGUCUCCCUGUGUUGCCUUACUUUUAAUUUUUCUUUAGCAGUGCUUCACUAUGUUGCCCAGGCUGGUCUCAAACUCCUGGCCUCUAGUGAUCCACCCACCUUGGCUUCCCAAAGUGCUGAGAUUACAGGUGUGAGCCAUCUCACUAAUCUCAUACUUUUAAAUGCCAUGUAUAUGCUGAUGGCUCUCAAAUUUCCUCUCCAACCCAUACAUUUUCUCUGAACAUCAGGUUCAUUUUGUCUAUUUGCAUGUGUAAUAGGUGUAUUAUUUUUAACAUGUCCCAAAACAAACUCUUGAUUUAUCCACCUCAUCUUCCUGCAAACUUUCCCACAUUUGUAAAUGGAACCUCAUUAUUCCAGUUGCUCGAGCCAAAAACCUAGGAGUCAUCCUUGCUUUCUCACUUUCUUUCAUACUCCCAAACUAAUCCCAUCAGCA